GACGGAAGCCACUGACUCAACCUUAUUUAUUAAAAUUUAAAUUAGGGUAAAAAUGCCUUAAUGAACUAGAAGGACGACAAGACCCUAUAAAACUUUACUACACCAGGUUCUCUUAAUAAAGUAAUAGCCUAAACCUUUAGUGGUUAGCUGGGGCGGCCAUCCCCCUCCGGGGGCCAAUACAACACCCUGUGUGACCUCCCGAACCCCUUUUAGUAGAAAGACCAAGUUACUUUAGGGAUAACAGCGUAAUUAUCUUGUAGAGCCCCUAUCGAUGAGAUAGCUUACGACCUCGAUGUUGAAUUGGGGCUCCUGCUAAGAGCAACCCCCUAGCAAGGAAGUCUGUUCGACUUUUAAACCCCCACAUGAUGUGAGU
rnacentral:rRNA from 1 species